UGGGGAAUUUUGGACAAUGGGCGAAAGCCUGAUCCAGCCAUGCCGCGUGCAGGAUGAAGGCCUUCGGGUUGUAAACUGCUUUUGUACGGAGCGAAAAGGUCUGCCCUAAUACGGUGGGCUCAUGACGGUACCGUAAGAAUAAGCACCGGCUAACUACGUGCCAGCAGCCGCGGUAAUACGUAGGGUGCGAGCGUUAAUCGGAAUUACUGGGCGUAAAGCGUGCGCAGGCGGUCUUGUAAGACAGUCGUGAAAGCCCCGGGCUUAACCUGGGAACUGCGAUUGUGACUGCAAGGCUAGAGUGUGUCAGAGGGGGGUGGAAUUCCACGUGUAGCAGUGAAAUGCGUAGAGAUGUGGAGGAACACCGACGGCGAAGGCAAUCCCCUGGACCUGUACUGACGCUCAUGCACGAAAGCGUGGGGAGCAAACA
rnacentral:rRNA from 1 species